rnacentral:rRNA from 1 species
AGUGAACGCUGGCGGCGUGCUUAACACAUGCAAGUCGAACGAGAACGGGUUAUAGCUUGCUCUACUUGUUAGUUACGCGGCGCACGGGGGAGUAAUGUAUGGGUCAAAUGCGCUUUACUAAGGGAUAACAAAUGGAAACCUUUGCUAAUACCUUUUACUCCUUAUUAACAGAUGUUAAUCAGGGAAAGAUUUUUUGGUAAGGGAGUAGCCUGUAUUUUAUCAGUUAGUUGGUGAGGUAAUGGCUUACCAAGACAAUGACACAUAACUGGUUUGAGAGGAUGAUCAGUCACAUUGGAACUGAGACACGGUCCAAACUCCUACGGGAGGCAGCAGUGGGGAAUAAUGCACAAUGGACGAAAGUCUGAUGCAGCAACGCCGCGUGGAGGAUGACACAUUUCGGUGCGUAAACUCCUUUUAUAUGAGAAGAUAAUGACGGUAUUAUGUGAAUAAGCACCGGCUAACUCCGUGCCAGCCGCCGCGGUAACAC